rnacentral:rRNA from 1 species
GACGAACGCUGGCGGCGUGCCUAAUACAUGCAAGUAGAACGCUGAAGGAGGAGCUUGCUCUUCUGGAUGAGUUGCGAACGGGUGAGUAACGCGUAGGUAACCUGCCUGGUAGCGGGGGAUAACUAUUGGAAACGAUGGCUAAUACCGCAUAAGAGUAGAUGUUGCAUGACAUUUACUUAAAAGGUGCAAUUGCAUCACUACCAGAUGGACCUGCGUUGUAUUAGCUAGUUGGUGGGGUAACGGCUUACCAAGGCGACGAUACAUAGCCGACCUGAGAGGGGGAUCGGCCACACUGGGACUGAGACACGGCCCAGACUCCUACGGGAGGCAGCAGUAGGGAAUCUUCGGCAAUGGACGGAAGUCUGACCGAGCAACGCCGCGUGAGUGAAGAAGGUUUUCGGAUCGUAAAGCUCUGUUGUAAGAGAAGAACGAGUGUGAGAGUGGAAAGUUCACACUGUGACGGUAUCUUACCAGAAAGGGACGGCUAACUACGUG